rnacentral:ribozyme from 1 species
GGAGAAAAAGAAGAGGGAAAAGUGAAAAAAUGAAAUAGCCUGGAGACAGAUAUUUCAUCAUUUUUGCCCAAUAUAUUUAUGUUUGUAUUUUUUGCUUGU